CAAACAGCAGCUGCUGUCAAAAUCUAAAAUGUCAAAGUCAAAAAUCAUAUAAACAAGAAAAAAGAAGCCCGAUUUUCGGGAUUCUUUAAUUAAAAAAUAACAGUGAUUUGUUGUUACAAUGGCAGCAAAAGAGAAUGCUACUCCUCGGGACUGCUUGUCCUGUAGAAUCGUUGGUGCCGUAGGAAUGGUCGGCAUUGGAGGUUAUCUCGCUAACAGCGCUUGCAAGAAUAAAAGUACAGCCGGGAAAUAUGGCUUAUCUAUGCUAUCAUUUGCCUUCAUCUGUCUUGGAGUAGCGAGGUACAAACAAACAUUCCCCUUCAAUAAAAAUGAAGAAUUCAAAUCAAAAAAUGUAAUAAAAAAUUAAAACUGUAGCUAUAAUGAGAAAAAAAAUCAUUAGUUUGUAAGCUGUAAAAAUGUUUUGUAAAAAGGUUAGGUAAUUUCUUAAUUGUAGAUUUGUUUAUUAUGAAACAAUAAACUUCCGUUUAUGAA